UAAUUGACGCUGGCGGCAGGCCUAACACAUGCAAGUCGAGCGGCAGCGGGAAGUAGCUUGCUACUUUGCCGGCGAGCGGCGGACGGGUGAGUAAUGUCUGGGGAUCUGCCCGAUGGAGGGGGAUAACUACUGGAAACGGUAGCUAAUACCGCAUAACGUCGCAAGACCAAAGUGGGGGACCUUCGGGCCUCACACCAUCGGAUGAACCCAGAUGGGAUUAGCUAGUAGGUGGGGUAACGGCUCACCUAGGCGACGAUCCCUAGCUGGUCUGAGAGGAUGACCAGCCACACUGGAACUGAGACACGGUCCAGACUCCUACGGGAGGCAGCAGUGGGGAAUAUUGCACAAUGGGCGCAAGCCUGAUGCAGCCAUGCCGCGUGUGUGAAGAAGGCCUUCGGGUUGUAAAGCACUUUCAGCGGGGAGGAAGGAGUAAGUGUUAAUAGCACUUAUUAUUGACGUUACCCGCAGAAGAAGCACCGGCUAACUCCGUGCCAGCAGCCGCGGUAAUACGGAGGGUGCGAGCGUUAAUCGGAAUUACUGGGCGUAAAGCGUACGCAGGCGGUUUGUUAAGUCAGAUGUGAAAUCCCCGAGCUUAACUCGGGAACUGCAUUUGAAACUGGCAGGCUAGAGUCUCGUAGAGGGGGGUAGAAUUCCAGGUGUAGCGGUGAAAUGCGUAGAGAUCUGGAGGAAUACCGGUGGCGAAGGCGGCCCCCUGGACGAAGACUGACGCUCAGGUACGAAAGCGUGGGGAGCAAACAGGAUUAGAUACCCUGGUAGUCCACGCUGUAAACGAUGUCGAUUUGAAGGUUGUGGCCUUGAGCCGUGGCUUUCGGAGCUAACGCGUAAAUCGACCGCCUGGA
rnacentral:rRNA from 1 species